ensembl:lncRNA
AGAUGAGGAUCUAUCAUGGCAUUUGCUAAGAAUAAAUGAUUUUUUUGUUGUCAGUAUGAAAGCCUACAAUACCAUGUGAGUUCAAGGACCUUAACAGAUUUGAACAUCACCAUUUGAACAUGCGGCAUUAUGAUUUAUUGGUGUCUCCUUACUAUAUCUAUUGAGGCAAUGUUAGCUCUGGUUACUUAACUCUGCUUUCCAUUUGUAUUUUUUUGCCUCCGCCUACUUUAUGUCCAACUAAUGCAUGUUUAAAACAAUAUGAUUUUGUCUUAAGUCCAGGUAAACUAUGGUCAUACAAUUGACAAAAAUAGAACAUCCUACCUGACGUUUUGCAUCCUUCCUUUUCUCACAUUCAUAAAUUGGGAUAACCGAUUAUUAUUUAACUUGGUGAAGAUAAAACUGUACUUCAGAACAACAGAACCAUCCUGGAAAAUUAGUCUGGUUAAUCUCUGGGGGGAGAAGAUGGCCUAAAUAUGCAGCAAAUUGUCUUAUAAAUUCUAAGGAAGAUGGCCUUGGCUUGGAAGAAAAGCAUACUGAACUUUCCCAUUGAGAUACAUUUGUUGACCACCAGCAAGCGAAAAAUGAGGCAGUGAGAGACCAUGUGCCAGAGGAGAGUAGAGGUUUGUUUGGUAUUAUAGAAUCUGUCGUAGUUGAAUCUUUUGUUGCACAUGUUUCUGGGAAUGAAAACUAAAGAAAGAAUAGCUCAUGAGAUGGAUACAACAGUGGUUCUUGGUCAAUAACAGGGGCUAUGUACAAUCUCAGUGUAAAAUGUUUCUUUUUCCUUCUCUGUGGAAGGAAGUUGAUCAUAGACGUAUGUUAUUCUGCUCUUGGUGGUGCACUUUUUUGUACAGCAAAGUACAUUGAAAUCCUUUUGGGGGGAGGCACCCCUGAUUUUUUUCGCUAGCAUUUUAGUUGUGUGAAACUUUUUUAGAGUGUCUGGAAAAUUACAAGAUGCAAUUGAGCUAUUACUUUUUUUAUUUCUUUUGAUGGAAGUGUAAGAAACUGCUGCUACCUAUCUGUUUAUAUGUAGUGUGUCUCAUUAGGAACUGUAAACUGAAGAAGCUUUUCUUCACCUUAGUCCUGCCAAAUUGUAACUUCUGAAUGUCGACAUGUGUAAAUAUGCGUGUAUUCCAAAUAAGUCUGAAAGUGUUACACCACGGGCAUCUCCAGUGAUUUGUUCUUCAGCAAACAGUUAUAAAAUGUAGUAAUAUAUAGUUGUGCUCUUUGUCUGUCAAUUUACAAAGAUUUUUGCCUGAGGUGGUAUUUACAUGACAGGUGAUGUUAGAAAGCUACAUCCAAAGGAGGAUUUUGGAGGCAAGUUCAUCUCCUUUUCCUUUUUGUUUUCGUUUACUCUUUUCCUUUUCUUUUUUUUUUUUUCUUCUAAUUUCCUUCUUGCUUAAUUAAUAGCACUGAUCUUUCCUGAAGAUUUAAACUUGAAUUUUUCCUGCACUUUAAUUCAGUCAUGGUAUUUUAUUCCUUAAUUUUGUUUCUGCAUUUGUGCGGUUCAGGUUCAUUAUUUGUAUAUAAGUACACACAUUCAGUGAAGAGUUUAGAGCAGGUUACCUUUGGGCACAUUUGCUAAUUAUGUGACUAUAAUUUAGAAUGUGUGUUUUCUUAGCAAAAUAUGUAUAUACAAGUAUAUACAACGUAGAAUCUAAUGAGAAGCACUUAUCCUGUGUCAGCAUUGAGUUUAUAAAUUACUGCAACACUUUCAGAUUUGUUACUAGAUAAUACAAUAAAAAUCUGUUAUAUUUAUACAUACUGCUUAAGAAUAUACUUUUAGUUUUAAAUAAUUUUUAUAUGUACACUUCUACCUUUAAUUUUAAAAAGACUUAUGUUCAAUUUUUAAGUCAAAGUACUUAAAGUGUGUAUAUUAUCCAUAGAAGAAGUUGUUUUAAGCUUAUGAAUACAUUCAUAUCUCAUAUCGAGAUGAUACAAUUACUAAGCAAUGACAACAAAUAGCCCAUUUUGCUUUGCAGAAAAUAAUCCUACUUAUUUUUAUUUCCCAUUUCGAACAUUCUUAAAAAUUUCCCUAAGUACAAAGGGGGAAGAUGGUGCAUUCAAAUAACCAACACAACAUCCCCUUUUUUCCUCAAGAGCUGCAGACUGUGGCUGUCCAAAUUUCUAUGAGGUUUUUUUUUUAAUUUUAAAUAAUCACAUGCAAGAAUUUUUAGACAUAUUUCUUUGGACUCCUUAAGUUCCCAAAAAAUCUAAGUGAGGUUUGUCCAAUACAGAUUUUAUUUGACUGAUGUUCAGGUCUUCUUUAUACAUCAGCUCUUUACAUGUAAAUCAUUUUUUUGUUUUGUAUUCCAAAUGUGUGUCGAAAAACCUAUAGCCUGUGACUGAAGGGCCCCUUCCUCUUUCUCAUCAUGGUUCCACAUACCCCGUAGGGAUACUGAUGGCAGCUGAAGUUCAGCAUGGGGGUACGAUGGGAAAGAUAGACAAGGACUUGCCAACCUCUGUAAGUUUACAGGGUAAUUUGUUAGUUUUCUUCAUUCUAGCUAAUUUCUUGCAUACCGUGAAAUUUUCACAUACUUUGUAGACAAAAGGAAUUAUAUUUGGAGGGGAGGGAGGAAAAAAAAUCUAUGGGGUAGGUGAAUCAACAAGUGCACUAGUCUUAUUUGAGUUUUCAUUGAGAAGCUAAUUUAAGCUGGGCCAGUUUCUCUUUCUUACGCGUGUUAUGAAGAUGUGCUAUCUAUAAUCUAUUUUAUUACUAUUCCAAGCCAAUGGGUGUACUGUGUUUCUGUGUUCUUUUACACUAAGAUUUAGGCUGAAAGGUGUUGGUGUUAGUAAAGAAGAAACAAGGCGGAAACAUACAGCAGUCAAAAGAAAGGUGUCGAUCAGCAUUCCUUUUGGUUUUUCAUGUAACACGCCUAGAAAUGUUUAAGUCAUACAGACAUAGGUUUUUUUGACACUUGCUUUUGUUUUCAUUAGUACCUAAGUUACAUAUUACCAAGCAAAAAAAAAAUAACACGAAGUUAAACUGUUUCAGUUGAAAAUAUGUAAGGAGUUGUAUGUGGAUUACCACUACCAUUCAGUUAAUAGGUGAUGCAAAGGGCGUGGGGUGGGAACAUGUUUUAAAUAUUCCCUUUUAAAAAAAGAACUGUAAAUAAGCAGUACUACGUUAUUUUAGACCUGAGCUCUGCUAUCUGUAGUGGUUAGAACUAGGAAAACAUGCUGCUUUCUAGUUAUGCUACUGCUUCAUUGUACCAGCAUCAUGGCGGGGGGGGAAGAAUCAGUAAAUUUUUCUAACAUUGCCCACCUGUGGGUAAGCAUGCUUGAAGUGUAGCAGUUCUCGUUUAUGUAUAUCUUAGUGUGUACAUGUACGUUUUUUCUUUGUUCAUUGCAACUUCUUUUUGUUUGAAUCUUGCUGAGCCCCACUAGCUCUUCUGAGGGUGAUUACUGGAAUAUGCAUUUUUAGGUAGGGUUGCAAAUCCAUCUGUCUACAAAUAUAGUUUCAUAUGAACUGCAAACUGUACUGUUACAAACACAACUAUGUUAGAUCGCAUAGAGUUAUUUUACUUACAUGUACUUGAACUGAACUAUGUCAUCAUAACAAAGUUAAAAAAAAAAUUAAGUAUGGAAUAUUUUUGUAAAUAAAAAUACCUGUGCAGCUGGUAUUUUAAAUUUAAAAUGUAUUAUACAUUAAUGUUUCAGAAAAAAAUGUUCAUAUAUGUGUAUAUGAAUGUGUCAUUAUGCUGAAGGGCUCUGAUUGGGCAAAAAUAAACUAUUCAAAUCUCUCCU